UACGUAGGGGGCAAGCGUUGUCCGGAAUCAUUGGGCGUAAAGCGCGUGUAGGCGGUCCGGUAAGUCCGCUGUGAAAGUCGGGGGCUCAACCCUCGGAUGCCGGUGGAUACUGUCGGGCUUGAAUACGGAAGAGGCGAGUGGAAUUCCUGGUGUAGCGGUGAAAUGCGCAGAUAUCAGGAGGAACACCAAUUGCGAAGGCAGCUCGCUGGGACGUUACUGACGCUGAGGAGCGAAAGCGUGGGGAGCGAACAGG
rnacentral:rRNA from 1 species